UUUGACUUAAAAUUUGAAUGUAUGAUAAUCUGUGAAUACUCAAUAAUAAUAAGGAUAUUUCAUCUCAAUGCAUACUUCAUUUAUACUUAGAUUAUUUUUUGAAUACAUUGCUUUCUUCGUUUUGCCAAGCUGCUCAGACCUUUGGGACUUAUGUUGUAAUUACUUAACUCAUCUUCACUUUCUAACUUGCGAGUUUCUUCUAACUCAACAUUAACAUAAAAAGUCUUAAAU
rnacentral:lncRNA from 1 species